AUUGCCCUAGUAACGGCGAGUGAAGCGGCAACAGCUCAAAUUUGAAAUCUGGCUCUCGGGCCCGAGUUGUAAUUUGUAGAGGAUACUUUUGAUGCGGUGCCUUCCGAGUUCCCUGGAACGGGACGCCAUAGAGGGUGAGAGCCCCGUCUGGUUGGAUGCCAAAUCUCUGUAAAGUUCCUUCGACGAGUCGAGUAGUUUGGGAAUGCUGCUCUAAAUGGGAGGUAUAUGUCUUCUAAAGCUAAAUACCGGCCAGAGACCGAUAGCGCACAAGUAGAGUGAUCGAAAGAUGAAAAGCACUUUGAAAAGAGAGUUAAAAAGUACGUGAAAUUGUUGAAAGGGAAGCGUUUAUGACCAGACUUGGGCUUGGUUAAUCAUCUGGGGUUCUCCCCAGUGCACUUUUCCAGUCCAGGCCAGCAUCAGUUUUCCCCGGGGGAUAAAGACUUCGGGAAUGUGGCUCUCUUCGGGGAGUGUUAUAGCCCGUUGUGUAAUACCCUGGGGGGGACUGAGGUUCGCGCAUCUGCAAGGAUGCUGGCGUAAUGGUCAUCAACGACCCGUCUUGAAACACGGACCAAGGAGUCGUCUUCGUAUGCGAGUGUUCGGGUGUCAAACCCCUACGCGUAAUGAAAGUGAACGCAGGUGAGAGCUUCGGCGCAUCAUCGACCGAUCCUGAUGUUCUCGGAUGGAUUUGAGUAAGAGCAUACGGGGCCGGACCCGAAAGAAGGUGAACUAUGCCUGUAUAGGGUGAAGCCAGAGGAAACUCUGGUGGAGGCUCGCAGCGGUUCUGACGUGCAAAUCGAUCGUCAAAUAUGGGCAUGGGGGCGAAAGACUAAU
rnacentral:rRNA from 1 species